rnacentral:lncRNA from 13 species
AUGGUUGUUACCAUGGUGAAUGACAUCAUGGCUCCCACGUCACAUUUGUGUGUCUCACUGACUCCAAUCCAACAUCUGCUCUUCCCAACCCGGUGUUGUGAAAACACACAGAAACACACACACACACACACACACACACACACACACACACACACACACANNNNNNNNNNUAGAUUUGUACCUAGAAUCAUGGCCUCUGAUAGAAUACAGGAACCAUACGCAUCUAGAUACAUGUCCUCUGAUAGGAUACAGGAACCAUACGCAUCUAGAUACAUGUCCUCUGAUAGGAUAUGGGAACGAUACACAUCUAGAUACAUGGCCUCUGGAUACAUGGCCUACGUUUUAGUUUGACAUUAUUAGAGGUUUGAUUUGAGGAAGGAAUCGAUGCGAUUUGUGUUUGACUAUUGGAAGGAAGCGGUCUGUGACAGCCUGGGAUCGAACCUGGGUCUGUAGUGAUGCAUCAAGCACUGCAAUGCAGUGCCUUAGACCGCUGUGCCAUUCAGGAGGCCCCAACACAUUCUUUCUGAUUUUGUCUUGAAUAAAGAACAUUUUUGACUAAGUAAAUCUACUCAUGUUGUAUGUGUGGUGGAAUAGCCAACGGCAAUCUACAGAAAAUGUUGUAGCCUGAUAUUGUGAGAGGCUGCUGAUGUAUUGAUUUGUGUAAGGUGUGGAUAGGUGAAAGAAAUAUCAGGACAAUUUCUCUCUCCAUGAAUGUUUUAUUAACUCUCUGAACGGAAGGCCUACACCGCCGUGGCAUGAGUUACCUUUCCAUCAAACCCACAUCCAAACCAAUCUCAGGCUGUAUAGGCUAACGCUGGAGGCCUAAAAGGAUAUCUCCAUUUCAUUUAGAACAAAACAUUUUAGGAUAUUAAGAGUUAGUUAUAGAAAUAGCCUACCAACAUAGGCCUAGGUCUUAACACAGCACUCGCUAGCGUCCUAAAAUCAGAAACAUCCUGGAAAUGUAAAACAUUUAAAACACGUGGUCAACAGAUGUUUUUUUCUCUUCCAGAUCUUUGAAAACCUCUAAAUAUUUAUAUCCAAUUAUAGAGUUGUCAUAGCGGGAAUACUGACCUAGACCUACAAAUCCCAAAUGUUGAACACGGCAAUGCAGAUGGAGGACUCCGUCCUUCUGUAGCCCAUUUAAAAUGGAUUCGCUGGUGAAAUACUGUUGAUCAAACCUGUUAAAUACGCUAUAGUGUAAUGUUGAUCAACCCAUUAAAUAAUCUAUAGUGUAAUGUUGAUCAACCCAUUAAAUAAUCUAUAGUGUAAUGUUGAUCAAACCAUUAAAUAAUCUAUAGUGUAAUGUUGAUCAACCCAUUAAAUAAUCUAUAGUGUAAUGUUGAUCAACCCAUUAAAUAAUCUAUAGUGUAAUGUNNNNNNNNNNNNNNNNNNNNNNNNNNNNNNNNNNNNNNNNNNNNNNNNNNNNNNNNNNNNNNNNNNNNNNNNNNNNNNNNNNNNNNNNNNNNNNNNNNNNCAUUAAAUAAUCUAUAGUGUAAUGUUGAUCAACACCAUUAAAUAAUCUAUAGUGUAAUGUUGAUCAAACCAUUAAAUAAUCUAUAGUGUAAUGUUGAUCAACCCUGUUAAAUAAUCUAUAGUGUAAUGUUAACCAACUUAUUUAAUGAUUUUGAUCAAGUGUCCCGCUGACCAAUGCACUUAUUUCUCAGACAUUUGAACCGGGUACUGAUCCAUAUCGGUGAAUCGUCACAUCCCUAGUAGACCCCUGUAGACCCACUACAGUUUCAUUGUAAUACAGAGACGUUUGUGACCUUAUGGCUGAUUACUACUGGCAGAUCACUACGUAGAUCAUUCAUACAUGUAAACCUGGUCACUGACGUCGCUGUGGGCAACAGAUGUAGGGAGAGAACUCUCUCUUGCAGUAUUUAUGUGACGGGACACCUACACAUGUCCUAUGGUUUCCUUUCACGAGCCACGUGUGUGUUUGUGCAGGGUAGGUCUUUAUAUAAUGUAUAGAGUCUGGUCUGUUGAUAGGAACUACACAGAUUGCUACAUUCCAGGGGACUCAUCCCAGGAUCCGAUGCGCUUUAGGCCCAUGUGUGUCUGUGCAUUGAGACCACGUGCAUUCAGCACAUCCACCUGGUAUGGGCUGCCCUUUCCCCUACAUAUCCCAACACUCCUCCUCUCAACAGCCCUCAGGACGUGUGCUGUUUAAUUAGAUCCUCCCUCUCCUCCUCCCCUCCUCACAUGUUAACAUCCUCUCAGUUCUCCAUUAGGCUUCCUGGCACAGGCCGAGCAUAAACAGGCCGAGCAUAAACAGGCCGACAGAACUGAUAACAUCUGCAGAUGGGCUGCUAGCUCCGCCGCGAUAAGCACCAGCAGCAGGCCUUCUCUUCCCAAUAAGCCCUGACUGAAAUGUGUUCGCACAGCCAGACAGACACAGAAAGAGAAGGGUGAAGGGAGGGCAUUGAAAGGGCUAGUAAUAUUAUCCCUCAGGGUUUUAUCUGUCUGUCCAUCAACUGGCAAAGGGGUUUUGGGUGUUUCUGCUCUCUUUAUCCGCUAUCAGGAUGGCCUGUUGAGCUGGCUGGUGGAGGCCCCUCGUUGGGGUGGGGCUGGUGGAGGCCCCUCGUUGGGGUGGGGCUGGUGGAGGCCCCUCGUUGGGGUGGGGCUGGUGGAGGCCCCUCGUUGGGGUGGGGCUGGUGGAGGCUCCUCGUUGGGGUGGGGCUGGUGGAGGCCCCUCGUUGGGGUGGGGCUGGUGGAGGGGUAGUGGGGUUUGAAGAAGUGACAGUCGCUGAGAGACUUGGGGAAGAAGGAGAGCCUCAGACAUUGGAUGGCUCAUGGUUUGAGUCGCUAGAUCGCAGUGUCUUUGUUGACACUGGUGUUGGAUGUGAUUGGCAGGUCCUUACCGGCGACAUCAGUCUUCUCUUUUGAAUCUCUGUCUCUCUGUCUCUCUCUGUCUCUGUCUCUGUCUCUGUCUCUCUCUCUCUGUCUCUCUCUCUCUGUCUCUCUCUCUCUGUCUCUCUCUCUCUGUCUCUCUCUCUCUGUCUCUCUCUCUCUGUCUCUCUCUCUGUGUCUCUCUCUGUCUCUCUCUCUGUCUCGCUCUCUGUCUCUCUCUCUGUCUCUCUCUGUCUCUCUCUCUGUCUCUCUCUCUGUCUCUCUCUCUGUCUCUCUCUCUGUCUCUGUGUGUGAUAAGAAACAAGGCAAGAGAGAGAGUGAGAGGUUUGCAGUCUGCCCUGACAAAACAUUUACCUGAGCUUUUGUAACGGGAGCAGCCACUCCCCGCGGCGCCACGGUCUCCCCUGGCAACAACCUCUGCGGGAAGGUCGGCACAAAUGGGCCAUGAAUGAGCUAAGUUCAGAGGGAUAAAAUAAGACACUUUAACACGAUUAAGGGCCCUAAUGUAAUCAGCAUUGUUUCAGAUACAACUCAGUUAUCUGUAAUGAAACAGGCUUUUCCUCUAGAAACAGGGCAUUACCUUAGCUGGUGACUGGCAGGAACCAUGCAGGGCUGAACACACAGACGCACACACACUCGCUCACUCCUCUUCAUCCUCUUCAGGCAUAUCAUCAACAAAAGACCCAGAUAAGCAGUAUCAGGAUCUGCAUCCUAUAAUCCCAGCUUUGAAACAUUUUAAAUUGUUGAUUUACAUUUCAUGAAUACACAAUACCUCGUCUCCAGUCUGUUGAUUAGGACGCCCUGAAGCACAUUUACAUCAACCUGGCCGGGUAGAAAUUAAAGAAGUCAGCCGAGACCCCCCACUGAGACAGCACCGUGGCGUUGACAGCUUUUGUUUGUGUGGAGAAGAUGCUGUGUCCUGGUAUUGACAGGUUUUGAAGUAGCCUGAUGGUGGAGAUAAUAUCAGGNNNNNNNNNNCUACGUAGAUCAUUCAUACAUGUAAACCUGGUCACUGACGUCGCUGUGGGCAACAGAUGUAGGGAGAGAACUCUCUCUUGCAGUAUUUAUGUGACGGGACACCUACACAUGUCCUAUGGUUUCCUUUCACGAGCCACGUGUGUGUUUGUGCAGGGUAGGUCUUUAUAUAAUGUAUAGAGUCUGGUCUGUUGAUAGGAACUACACAGAUUGCUACAUUCCAGGGGACUCAUCCCAGGAUCCGAUGCGCUUUAGGC